rnacentral:tRNA from 1 species
ACGGGUGUAGCUCAGUUGGUAGAGUAGUGGAUUCCAAAUCCAUUGGUCGUGGGUUCGAAUCCUACCGCCCGUGCAA